rnacentral:rRNA from 1 species
CCUACGGGAGGCAGCAGUAGGGAAUUUUCGUCAAUGGGCGCAAGCCUGAACGAGCGAUGCCGCGUGAGUGAAGAAGGCCUUCGGGUCGUAAAGCUCUGUUGCGGGGGAAAAAAGGCAGCAUGAGGAAAUGGGCGCUGACUGAUGUUGCCCUGCCAGAAAGUCACGGCUAACUACGUGCCAGCAGCCGCGGUAAUACGUAGGUGGCGAGCGUUAUCCGGAAUGAUUGGGCGUAAAGGGUGCGUAGGCGGGCCUGCAAGUCUGGAGUGAAAGGCAUGAGCUCAACCCAUGAAAGGCUUUGGAAACUGGAGGGCUAGAGAGCAGGAGAGGGCGGUGGAACUCCAUGUGUAGCGGUAAAAUGCGUAGAUAUAUGGAAGAACACCAGUGGCGAAGGCGGCCGCCUGGCCUGUUACUGACGCUGAGGCACGAAAGCGUGGGGAGCAAAUAGGAUUAGAUACCCCUGUAGUC